CCUACGGGAGGCAGCAGUGGGGAAUAUUGGACAAUGGGCGCAAGCCUGAUCCAGCAAUGCCGCGUGGAUGAAGAAGGUCUUCGGAUUGUAAAGUCCUUUCGGCGGGGACGAUGAUGACGGUACCCGCAGAAGAAGCCCCGGCUAACUUCGUGCCAGCAGCCGCGGUAAUACGAAGGGGGCUAGCGUUACUCGGAGUGGCUGGGCGUAAAGGGCGCGUAGGCGGUUUGGUUUGUUAGGUGUGAAAUUCCUGGGCUUAACCUGGGGGCUGCACUUAAGACGGCCAGGCUUGAGUGUGAAAGAGGGUCGUGGAAUUCCCAGUGUAGAGGUGAAAUUCGUAGAUAUUGGGAAGAACACCGGUGGCGAAGGCGGCGACCUGGUUCAUUACUGACGCUGAGGCGCGAAAGCGUGGGGAGCAAACAGGAUUAGAUACCCUGGUAGUCCACGCCGUAAACGAUGUGUGCUGGAUGUUGGUCGACCUAGUUGUCUCAGUGUCGUAGCUAACGACGAUAAGACACACCGCCGUCGGGGUAGGUACGGGCCGGCCGAAGGUUAGGUAAACGUAACGAAAGUAAGUACGGACGNGNGACGNGCGACGACGACGACGACGGAGGAGG
rnacentral:rRNA from 1 species